ensembl:lncRNA
AUGUGGGAUAUUCUUUUAAGCAUUGAGACGAGCUUAUUUGCUUGGGUGAUUUUCACAUGGAGUUUGCCUGUUUUGAGCUUUUGUAUAGCUGAUGAGCGAUAUCAUUGGAUAGUUUUGGUCAUUUUAGUGGCAAGUGCAAUAUGGUGGGCAAGGGGAAAGCAAAGGAGGUUAAAAUCCCUCCUUUGUUUUAGAUGCUGCAUCUCCUGCGCAGCUGCAAUGUGGCUGGAAUCAUGUUCUCUCCAUGAUGAUGGAGCGGGGCCGAGGAAGGUACCAGGGAUGACGACACCUCCUGUGCAUCACUGCAGUGAGGCAGCACAGUGCUGCGGGCUCCAGCAGCACUGCCAGCUAUUUUUAACCUGGAUGUGCUCUGCGAUUUGUUUCACACACAGCACUGAAAUGGCACAGCUGAGGGGACAAGAGAGAAACCCAGACCAGCUACAACGUCUGUUCAGACAUGCGGCACCCACUUUAUGA